UGGAGUUUAUGAGACUGUGGAACAACCUUUAGUCACAAACCAGGAGAACGUGCAACAGGAAGGCAAUAUUCCUCCUGUAAACAACACUACCGAGCAAACGAUGAACGAUGGAAUGUUUAGGAGCUUUUUGCAGUUCAUGCAAAAUCAGACGAGGGAGACUCGUGUACAAAAUACGGGUGGAAAUGAUGGCAACGCGCGGUCUGUCACAGCCAAGCAGUUCAAGGAGUUGGGACCACCAGA
rnacentral:lncRNA from 1 species